AUAACCAUGGCCCAGCCACUGUGUAGAGUGCUAUCCAUAUACUGUCCUACUGUUCAACUCCAGUAUAAUCUCCAUCUUAAAAUGAGAAAACAAACUUAAAAGGGUAACUGAAGUUCAAGGCAGAAAUGUAUUGAGGACUGCCAGAAAAAGCACAAGCUACUAUAAUGAAACUACAUUAUGGGACCAACAUAGUUUUCACCUCCUCCUUCAGAGCAAGACAUAUUCAGGA